GGGUCCGUAGCUCAGGUGGUGAGAGCGUACGCCUGAUAAGCGUGAGGUCGGUGGUUCAAGUCCACCCGGGCCCACCA
rnacentral:tRNA from 1 species